CGGUCCCGUCGCAAGUUUUCCCUCAAAGAGAACAGCAGAGCUACCAGAACGAUAACAUCCCUCACAUGGAAACCAGAUAAGGCAAACGACCGUCGCAGCAAGCUGAUCUCCGCCCCCAGCAACUUCAACCACAUCAGCCACAUGGGCC
rnacentral:lncRNA from 1 species